rnacentral:rRNA from 1 species
ACGGCUCAGUAACACGUAGUCAACAUGCCCAAGGGACGUGGAUAACCUCGGGAAACUGAGGAUAAACCUCGAUAGGCCAAGAUUUCUGGAAUGGAUCAUGGCUGAAAUCUAUAUGGCCCUUGGAUUGGACUGCGGCCGAUCAGGCUGUUGGUGAGGUAAUGGCCCACCAAACCUAUAACCGGUACGGGCUUUGAGAGAAGGAGCCCGGAGAUGGGCACUGAGACACGAAUCCAGGCCCUACGGGGCGCAGCAGGCGCGAAAACUCUACAAUGCAGGCAACUGCGAUAGGGGAACAUCGAGUGAUCCUCAUAUUGGGGGUCUGUCCACCCGUCUAAAAAACGGGUGUUAGCAAGGGCCGGGCAAGACCGGUGCCAGCCGCCGCGGUAAUACCGGCGGCUCGAGUGGUGGCCGAUAUUAUUGAGUCUAAAGGGUCCGUAGCCGGCUUUGCAAGUCUCUCGGGAAAUCCAGCGGCUUAACCGUUGGUCGUCCGGGGGGUACUACAUUGCUUGGGACUGGGAGAGGUAGGAGGUACUCAGGGGGUAGGAGUGAAAUCCUGUAAUCCUUUGGGGACCACCGGUGGCGAAGGCGUCCUACCAGAACAGGUCCGACGGUGAGGGACGAAAGCUAGGGGCACGAACCGGAUUAGAUACCCGGGUAGUCCUAGCCGUAAACGAUGCUCGCUAGGUGUCACAACAGUCGUGAAUUGUUGUGGUGCCGUAGGGAAGCCGUGAAGCGAGCCACUUGGGAAGUACGACCGCAAGGUUGAAACUUAAAGGAAUUGGCGGGGGAG